rnacentral:rRNA from 1 species
GACGAACGCUGGCGGCGGGCUUAACACAUGCAAGUCGAACGGAAAGGCCCUGCUUUUGUGGGGUGCUCGAGUGGCGAAGGGGGGAGUAACACGUGAGUAACCUGCCCUUGACUUUGGGAUAACUUCAGGAAACUGGGGCUAAUACCGGAUAGGAGCUCCCGCCGCAUGGUGGGCGUUGGAAAGUUUCGGCGGUUGGGGAUGGACUCGCCGCUUAUCAGCUUGUUGGUGGGGUAGUGGCUUACCAAGGCUUUGACGGGUAGCCGGCCUGAGAGGGUGACCGGCCACAGUGGGACUGAGAUACGGACCAGACUCGAACGGGAGGCAGCGGUGGGGAAUAUUACACAAUGGGAGGGAGCCUGAUGCGACAACGCCGCGUGCGGGAUGACGGCCUUCGGGUAGUAAACCGCUUUCGCCUGUGACGAAGCGUGAGUGACGGUACCGGGUGAAGAAGCACCGGCUAACUACGUG